UCUAGAAACAGAAAACAGGAUUAUAACCAGUGGCUGGAUGUUAAUAGUAUACAAAUUCAGGCUAAAAUUCACAAUCAAUUCUUUAUGAGUCAUCCAAAUUAACUGGAACAUCCCAUCUUGAGACACAGCAGUUUCUUUGCCAUUUUGAAUCUUUAAGACUGGAUGUCCAUAAAAGCAAAACUGUACAACACAAAGAUCCAGAGGAUUUCAUCAAGAAAUUGCAGGGUUGAGUACUGUAAUCUGCAUUAAUACAGAUCAGAUACAUGACUGCAAUAAUGAUCCCUCUAGACUUCAAAAUAAAUUUGACUGGUGAAGGAAAAGGAUGCUAUACACAGCAUUUUCAGUGCCUUUAAUUAUUUGCAGGUGGAGGAACUCCAGUUUUUUUGGUACUAUUGUUUUUUCUAAUUGCACCCUCUUGACAUCUUAAGGAGGACAGGCACAGCAGGGGAUCUAAAGUCUGCAAGGAAUCAGCCUCCUGCCUCUCUAAUACACAUGAAUUUGGCAAGAGUGCAGUACUGCAUGCAGUAGAGAUUCCAACAGUUCAGCUCUGCUGACCUUACCUCAGAGAGAGUCAAACUGAAAUGCGGGUUACACUUCUCCCCAAGGACUCUGACCUUGAUAUUACUUUCAUUUUUUCUGUCUUUGUAGCUUUUUUCAAAGAAGUCAAGAAAUCAAAAAUGAUUUGAUUGCACCUAAAAGAGCUGGUCAGAUGUAGAAUGGAACUGCUCAGUGUCCAUACAAAGGAAUGUCUUGCCAUCUCCAAUGAACAAGUAACUUCAGUUAUGAGCUGCAAUAGCACAUGAACCUUUAGAACAUAUCAGACAUCAAUAGCAGAGAAAACAAAAUGAAAUCCACAGUCUGAUUUACCCUGUAUGAAACUGUCACACAUUCAUUAAAGGACAACCUGACCUGAAACUGACCUUGACAUUUAUAAACUCAGCUGAACUCAUGAGGUAAGAGAGGAAAGUUAAAUCUCUGUUGAUCACAUAUCAAGAGGAAAACAGAGCACGUUCUCAGACUACAUAUGGCAAUACUGACAGCAGGACUCAAGUUAAAAAUGCCUUUUACUAUUUGGAGUAUGAUAUGAAAGACUAUGCUUUCCAAACCAGUUAUAUUUUACAGAUAAGGUACUCUAGAAUACAUGAAGGAUUUGUUACAUUUUACAUAAGUAUUACCUUGCAUCUUGUUCUGUAUAAACUAACUUAGUAUGUUUCUGAUUAGUGAAAGUGGUCAUAAACACGUUCUGGCAUUUAAGGUUCUUCUGACUUGUGUAAUACAGAACAUCAUUUGCAGCCCAUU